AGCAGCCGCGGUAAUUCCAGCUCCAAUAGCGUAUAUUAAAGUUGUUGCAGUUAAAAAGCUCGUAGUUGAAUUUCGAGACCGGUCUACUGGUCGUGCUUUUGUACGUACUGGUAUAAUCGGUUUCUCUCUUCUGACGAACUAUAAUGCCAUUAAUUUGGUGUUUUAGGGAAUCAGGACUGUUACUUUGAAAAAUUAGAGUGUUUAAAGCAGGCUCACGCUUGAAUACAUUAGCAUGGAAUAACGAAAUAGGACGUUUGAUUCUAUUUUGUUGGUUUCUAGGAUCGACGUAAUGAUUAAUAGGGAUAGUUGGGGGCAUUAGUAUUCAAUUGUCAGAGGUGAAAUUCUUGGAUUUAUUGAAGACUAACUACUGCGAAAGCAUUUGCCAAGGAUGUUUUCAUUAAUCAAGAACGAAAGUUAGGGGAUCGAAGACGAUCAGAUACCGUCGUAGUCUUAACCAUAAACUAUGCCGACUAGGGAUCGGAUGAUGUAAUUUUUAAUGACUCA
rnacentral:rRNA from 1 species